GAUGAACGCUAGCGGCAGGCUUAACACAUGCAAGUCGAGGGGCAACACGGGUAGCAAUACCUGGUGGCGACCGGCGCAAGGGUGCGUAACGCGUGAGCAACAUGCCCUAUACAGGGGGAUAAUCCAGGGAAACUUGGUCUAAUAUCCCAUAGUAUUUAGAGGUGGCAUCACCACUAAAUUAAAGCUUCGGUGGUAUAGGAUUGGCUCGCGUGACAUUAGCUGGAUGGUGGGGUAACGGCUCACCAUGGCGAUGAUGUCUAGGGGUUCUGAGAGGAAGACCCCCCACACUGGGACUGAGACACGGCCCAGACUCCUACGGGAGGCAGCAGUGAGGAAUAUUGGACAAUGGAUGGAAAUCUGAUCCAGCCAUGCCGCGUGCAGGAAGACGGCCCUAUGGGUUGUAAACUGCUUUUAUAUGGGAGCAAUAAGGUUUACGCGUAGACCGAUGAGAGUACCAUAUGAAUAAGCAUCGGCUAACUCCGUGCC
rnacentral:rRNA from 1 species